GACGAACGCUGGCGGCGUGCUUAACACAUGCAAGUCGAACGCUGAAGCUCAGCUUGCUGGGUGGAUGAGUGGCGAACGGGUGAGUAACACGUGAGUAACCUGCCCUCUUCUUUGGGAUAACGCCCGGAAACGGGUGCUAAUACUGGAUAUUCACUGAUUCUCGCAUGGGGGUUGGUGGAAAGGUUUUUUCUGGUGGGGGAUGGGCUCGCGGCCUAUCAGCUUGUUGGUGGGGUGAUGGCCUACCAAGGCUUUGACGGGUAGCCGGCCUGAGAGGGUGACCGGUCACAUUGGGACUGAGAUACGGCCCAGACUCCUACGGGAGGCAGCAGUGGGGAAUAUAGCACAAUGGGCGAAAGCCUGAUGCAGCGACGCCGCGUGAGGGAUGGAGGCCUUCGGGUUGUAAACCUCUUUCGCUCAUGGUCAAGCCGCAGCGUUGGGUUGUGGUGAGGGUAGUGGGUAAAGAAGCGCCGGCUAACUACGUG
rnacentral:rRNA from 1 species